UGGUACCCACCCUCCUCAGGUUUCAUCACGUGGUGCUGCCGUUGCCCAGAAACCAUCUGUUCAUUGCUAGACUUCUCAGUGUUUGAGCUUCAGGUGAGGGUCCAGAGAGGAGUGAGCCUGGACAGUGGCCGCCCCUCAGGUGAGGGUCCAGAGAGGGGUGAGCCUGGACGGUGGCCGCCCCUCAGGUGAGGGUCCAGGGAGGAGUGAGCCUGGACAGUGGCCACUGAGCUCUCUCCCGCUUCCAUCAGCAGCCCU